rnacentral:snRNA from 1 species
CGUGCCCGGACCCUGUCG